UACAGAGGGUGCGAGCGUUGUCCGGAAUCACUGGGCGUAAAGGGCGCGUAGGUGGCGCCGCAAGUCCAUGGUGAAAGCUCGAUGCUCAACAUCGAGUCGGCCACGGAGACUGCGGGGCUCGAGCACUGUAGGGGCAGAUGGAAUUCCGGGUGUAGCGGUGGAAUGCGUAGAGAUCCGGAAGAACACCGGUGGCGAAGGCGGUCUGCUGGGCAGUUGCUGACACUGAGGCGCGAAGGCCAGGGGAGCAAACGGG
rnacentral:rRNA from 1 species